UGCAUUGCUCACCUGUGGCCCCAUGCAUCCCUGGCAAUCCCCAGGCCUGGAGGAGAAGCAGGAGGGCACUGGGACCAGCUUCCCAGCAACCCUGAGCUUGAAGGAUGUGCUGCCAACAGGGUGGUGUGGAGUGGAGGGCACAGCUGCUUGCCUCCCUGUCGCAGGAGAACCAGCCCCCAUGUUCCCCACAUGCCGGCUCCCCCAGACUCAGGGCAGAAGCAGCAGCAGUGACUACUGUGCUUUGGGCUGCUAUGGGAGGCACCACCCUUUGGCCCUCCCAGGAAACACGCAGAGCCUGGGCCCAUCCCAUCCCUGGGCUGAGGCCUUUCCUGCAACCAGCAGGGCCCAGAGACCCAGCAAAGAGGCACUGGGUGCUAGCUGGUCACAGUCAGAGGCCCAGGCUGCACAAGGAUCUCCAUGGCAUGUUGUUCCCUCUUGUCCUCAGCAGGGCUCAGUCCUGAACAUU
rnacentral:lncRNA from 1 species